GGAUAAACGGAGUUUGGGGUUGGCUGGUUCACCUGGCUGGAGUGCUGUGAAGAACAUGGGCUUGGUCAUCUGCUGGUCCUAGAAGAAUGAGAGAUGUAUGGAGCUGAGUGACACCAGCUGACCUGCACAUGGAGCGUGCUAUUAAAUUCUUAUUGUUGCAUGCCACAGAACAUCAGGAAAGUUUGUUCUGCAGCAACUGAUGACUGAUAGGAUGAUCUCCUAUCCAUCUCCCCUACCAGACGGAAAGACCCACAAACAAAGUAAACCUGCUUGUUCUGCUCACUCUUGUAUAACUCUUGCUUAGUACAGAAAGUACUUGACAAAUAUGUGUUGAAUGAAUAAAUAAUUAAGUGGGACA